rnacentral:rRNA from 1 species
UACGGGGGGAGCAAGCGUUGUUCGGAUCUACUGGGCGUAAAGGGCGCGUAGGCGGCCAGCACAAGUCAGUUGUGAAAUCUCCGAGCUUAACUCGGAAAGGUCAACUGAUACUGUGCGGCUAGAGUGCGGAAGGGGCAACUGGAAUUCUUGGUGUAGCGGUGAAAUGCGUAGAUAUCAAGAGGAACACCUGCGGCGAAGGCGGGUUGCUGGGCCGACACUGACGCUGAGGCGCGAAAGCCAGGGGAGCGAACGGG